UGGGGAUGACGUCAAGUCAUCAUGGCCCUUACGGCCAGGGCUACACACGUGCUACAAUGGUCGGUACAAAGGGGUUGCCAAGCCGCGAGGUGGAGCUAAUCCCAUAAAACCGAUCGUAGUCCGGAUCGCAGUCUGCAACUCGACUGCGUGAAGUCGGAAUCGCUAGUAAUCGUGAAUCAGAAUGUCACGGUGAAUACGUUCCCGGGCCUU
rnacentral:rRNA from 1 species